rnacentral:lncRNA from 1 species
GUUUUUCUUUUGGGAGAUGGAGAGGCUCGCCCCCUGGAUUAGCAGAGGAAUCAAAGCCACGUGACUACGGGGUGGGGGGGCGGGUUUCAUCUUUCUCCAUACAAGGUUAUUGUUCCACUUUUUCUUCUUUUCUUCCUCCCUAACCGCUAGCUCAGUGAUAAGUUGAGAAGGGGCCAGACCCUGGGUGCCCGGCUGACUCAGUCAUUAAGCAUCUGACUUCGCCUCGGAAAAAAGAAGAAGAAGAAGAAGUGGCUGGAGCUCUCGAGGUGCCUUCAAGAAACCACGCCGAAAGGAAAGCCUGACCCUGACUCCAGGGGCUGCCCCGCAAGGGAAUCAUCCUCUGACAGUGCGAACCUCCGAAUCUUGUUUUUACCUUAGCUCUUCAACGUUUACACUUCAGCGGGAGCAGAACACCAUCCUUUGACCUAUGGCACAGCGCCGUUCUCACAAGGCAAGAACCCCUUAGCCAUAGGGCCCCGAGAGAAAACACAGAGGCCGUUCCCAGCAGACCUGCUCCCUGGAACCCUGAGCGACGUCGGAAGGCGUUGUCUCGGGUUUUUUAAGUCAAUUGCAACAUAGUUCCUGUAUUACUGUAUUUUCCUUGUGUGUUUGCACAUGGAUUUUUCACGGAUGGCUGGGGUAUUUGUGCUGUCACUCUGACAGGCUUUAAAAACACGCGCCCCGGGGCGCCUGGGUGGCGCAGUCGGUUGAGCGUCCGACUUCAGCCAGGUCACGAUCUCGCGGUCCGGGAGUUCGAGCCCCGCGUCGGGCUCUGGGCUGAUGGCUCAGAGCCUGGAGCCUGUUUCCGAUUCUGUGUCUCCCUCUCUCUCUGUCCCUCCCCCGUUCAUGCUCUGUCUCUCUCUGUCCCAAAAAUAAAUAAACGUUGAAAAAAAAAUUAAAAAAAAAAAAAAAAACACGCGCCCCGCGGUUAACCCCUCUGGGCACAUGGACGGUACUAAUCGUGUUACACCACCAGCAAGCUGACAACAGCCGGCCAGAGAGCCAGCCCCUGACAACGUGUAACACCCGUCUUCGCGGUCGCUUUGCCCCGGAUCACGUCCAGAGUAAACGUCCACGGUCUCUGCUCUCCGUCACUGAAGGUCAGAGUACAUCUCAGAUGCGGAGGCCAGCGAGACAGGUGCCGUUUGGAACUGAAACUCGGUUUAUAGCGGGGCAAAAAGGACAAUAAACCACCC